AAUUGAUCCCAUGUCAUAGAAGGUAACCGUUAUUGCAAUCAACGCAUCCAAUGUAGCGUUGUCCCUUCCAUAAAGACCAUGGCGAUGGGUAUCUUAGCAUUGUUGCCGGUUUGAUUUAUUGUGAAAUAUUGGUCUACACGUGUGAUCCAUCUGAUUGGGUCUAUACCAUCAAAACUGGGCAACUCCACACUUUUAGCAGCUAAGGAAGGAUCAUAAGUAGGUUGUUGAAUGGGUAAUGGUUGAUUACUAGAAGAUUAAUUUUUCUAGCCGUUGUUUUGCUUGUGCCCAUUCAUCACAUAGACUAGUGAUACGACGAUCUGUUUGUUCUUUGGCAUCUCGUAGUUGAACCAGAGCACCCUCCACAACGGCCAAAUUCCUCUCUAUCUAUUUCAUUCUAUUUUCCAUUCGUGUUUUUGUCAUUCACCAAAUUGAAAGAAUGGCACGUCAGACCAUCUAUGCAAAGCAUACUGAAUGAAGA
rnacentral:misc_RNA from 1 species